CUGGCCUCCAGGGCCUUGUACACCCUAGGCUUUCAUUCAUUGCACAUCCAGUGAAGGCCUACUGUGUGCCAGGCCCUCGGCGAC
rfam:Loxodonta africana unplaced genomic scaffold scaffold_9, whole genome shotgun sequence.